rnacentral:sRNA from 1 species
UGAACACACUGAGAAGUGUUUACUAGAGUUAUUUACAAUUUCCUGAUUUGAGCUUGUCAGAUCCUGUUCCAUUUAAUUUCACCCAGUUCCUAGGGCCCCUAAAAGAGACUCUCUUAGCUUGACUAUAUAAACCUGUUAGCGCAUUUAACCUUUAUUGCGAGAACUUGGUCUGAAGACAACUAUAGGCAGAGGUAAAAAGGAAGUCUCUAAAAAAAAAAGAAAAAAGAAAAUGAAAAUCGCUUUCAUCCUUUUGUCUCUGACUUUCGCCACCAUUAUAUUCAGCCAAAACGUGAACGCUCAAGGCUACGGGAACCCAUGUAACAGAGCGUGCACCCGAGAGAACAACCCAGUUUGCGGCAGUAACGGCAUCACAUACAACAACCCUUGCUUACUGAGAGUGUUUAACGACUGCGACAACCUGAACGGACCCCCUGUGACUAUCCAGUACUACGGAGAGUGCAGAAGACCUCGACCUGGAGGCUAUUAACUGGAACAAAGCUCCAUACUUAAGUGACCUAAUUGCGCAGGGCGUCACGUGAACUUAUUAAAUGUAAUAUGAACUAA